UGUUGGAUAUAAUUUAUUGUUUAAAAACUGAUAUGAUAAAGACAUUUAUGAAAAAAACUCUGUUGCCAUGGUAACCAACAAGAAAUCACUGAUUUCCCUAAUUUCUCCAUAUCUGAAAAAAAAUCAAUAUAUAUAUAUUAUUUUUUUUGUACAUCCCCCAGUACUAUCAUAGUUAACCUAAAUUUCUUAUCAAAAAGUAUCUAUUUCUUCUUAAUAAUCAAUCAAUUAUUUUCUAUUUUUUUAGCCCCUAUUUUAAAAAAUGUCAAUUUUCAAUAUUUUUUGCUCAAUUUUGAGACAAUUUCACAUAAGAACUUGGCCGAAGUUAAUCUUUAAUGUAUUUCCAAGGAAAGAAAUGAUAUUCCCUGCGUCAGGUAUUUAAAAGGCAUUAUAUAAAUAAAAAAAAUGGUUCUUAUGGCAACAGUGCUGUUUUCAUCCAAACAUACAAAUAGACAAUCUAAGUCAAGUCCAUAUUUUUUUUUAAUAUUUGAAAAAUUCCCACAAUUUUACAACCAUGAAUAGUGACAUGUAUAGAAGAAAAUGUGCAAAUGUAUCAGUUAGUUAAUGUUGUAUGUUUCCAUAUUGAACAAGGUUUUCACAGAGUAGCAAUGUGUACAUACAUUCAGGACCUUAUAUAAUAUUGGUCUUAAUAAUAUUUUUUUAAAAUGCUUGUAUAGACUCUGUCUGUCUGUCAACAAUUAACAAUUUUACAUUAACAUAUAUGCAUUUGUCAAAUUUAAAGUCACUUGAAGGGCAAUAACUCUUAAAAAAAAC
rnacentral:lncRNA from 1 species